GGAGGAGUUUUCCUGAGAAUUCCUCUCAGCAGGAAUGGGGACGAGGCAAAUCCAGAGCUGGUCCAGGAUCCUCCUGUCAGAUUUGUUCAUUUCUGAGUGAGAUCCGUGCCCCUGAAAGUGAAGAUCUGUUCUUCUCUGAGUGAGAUCUGUUCAUUUCUGAGUGAGUGAGAUUUGUUCAUUUCUGAGUGAGAUUUGUUCAUUUCUGAAUGAAUGAGAUUUGUUCAUUUCUGAAUGAGAUUUGUUCAUUUCUAAGUGAGAUUUGUUAAUUUCUGAGUGAGAUCCGUGCCCCUGAGAGUGAAGAUCUGUUCUUCUCUGAGUGAAUGAGAUUUGUUCAUUUCUGAAUGAGAUUUGUUCAUUUGUAAGUGAGAUUUGUUCAUUUCUGAGUGAGAUCCAUGCCCCUGAGAGUGAAGAUCUGUUCUUCUCUGAGUGAAGGGAUCUGUUCUUCUCCAAGUGAGAUUUGUUCAUUUCUGAGUGAGAUUUGUUCAUUUCUGAGUGAAUGAGAUUUGUUCAUUUCUGAGUGACAUUUGUUCAUUUCUGAGUGAGAUUUGUACAUUUCUGAGUCAAUGAGAUAUGUUCAUUUCUGAGUGAGUUUUGUUCAUUUCUGAGUGAAUGAGAUUUGUUCAUUUCUGAGUGAGUUUUGUUCAUUUCUGAGUGAAUGAGAUUUGUUCAUUUCUGAGCAAGAUCCAUGCCCCUGAGAGUGAAGAUCUGUUCUUCUCUGAGUGAAGGGAUCUGUUCUUCUCCAAGUGAGAUUUGUUCAUUUCUGAGUGAGGGGAUCUGUGCCCCUGAGUGAGAUCUGCUCCUUCUGAGGGGAUUUGUGCCCCUCAUGUGAGGGGCGCUGUUCAUUUCUGUGAGGGAUCUGUUCAUUUCUGUGAGGGGAUCUGUUCAUUUCUCAGUGAGGGAUCUGUUCAUUUCUGUGAGGGAUCUGUUCAUUUCUCAGUGAGGGAUCUGUUCAUUUCUCAGUGAGGGAUNCUGUGAGGGAUCUGUUCAUUUCUCAGUGAGGGAUCUGUUCAUUUCUCAGUGAGGGAUCUGUUCAUUUCUGUGAGGGAUCUGUUCAUUUCUCAGUGGGGGAUCUGUUCAUUUCUGUGAGGGAUCUGUUCAUUUCUGUGAGGGGCUCUGUUCAUUUCUGUGAGGGCUCUGU
rnacentral:lncRNA from 1 species